UUUUAUCUUAGUUAGUAUCAAGCACGAGAGGAACCGCAGGUUCAGACAGGUGUAUGUGCUUGGCUGAGGAGCCAAUGGGGCGAAGAUAACAUCUGUGGGAUUAUGACUGAACGCCUCUAAGUCAGAAUCCCCCCUAAACGUGACUAUACCACAGCGCCGCGGAGCCUCUAUCGGCCUAGGGACUGGAGCGCGCACAAAAGGGGGCCACCUCUCUCCCAAAACGCACCGCAUGUUCGUGGGGAACCUGGUGCUAAAUCAUUCGUAGACAACCUUAUUCUGGGUCAGGGUUUCAUGCGUAGCAGAGCAGCUACCUCGCUGCGAUCUAUUGAAAGUCAUCCCUUGAGCCAAGCUUUU
rfam:Xenopus laevis strain J chromosome 1L, whole genome shotgun sequence.